UACGUAGGUGGCGAGCGUUAUCCGGAUUUAUUGGGUUUAAAGGGUGCGUAGGUGGUUUAGUAAGUCAGUGGUGAAAGACGGCCGCUUAACGGUCGCAUUGCCAUUGAUACUGCUGAGCUAGAGUGCAGAUGAGGUAGGCAGAAUGGAUGGUGUAGCGGUGAAAUGCAUAGAUAUCAUCCAGAAUACCGAUUGCGAAGGCAGCUUACUGGGCUGUUACUGACACUGAGGCACGAAAGUAUGGGGAUCAAACAGG
rnacentral:rRNA from 1 species